AGCUGGCUGCUUUUGCUGUAAGGAAACACAGCUGAUUCAUGCUUAUUUCACCCACCCUCAGACAUCUACAAUGUAGAUAGAUCUCCCUGUCUGAGCUAGGCACCAAAGGCUGCCUUUGAACACAGUGGCAGAAAUAGGUGCCUGACCUAUUUCAGACAUCUACUUUAGCAGGAGAUGAAUCACACUCCAGCAAAACCUGUUUCCCUCCACUGACUAUAAAGGGAGAACAGAGUGGCUAGUUUUGAUAUAAACAUCUAUACUAGAGGCAUUUACAUUCAGCCACAUUAAUCCUGCCUUAUAAAUUUUACCACAUCCCCAGAUUUUGUUGGAAGACAUUAUACAUUUGCAUGUGAGAGACUGUGCAUGUGUGUGUUCACACAGACACACAGGUUUUCUUCAAAUGUAAAAAGAAUACAGUUUAUAACAAUACAGGUAUGCAAAAAUGCACCGAGCUAGAAAUUGAGAGAGCUGAUUUACAUUUCAACUGCAGAUAUUCUACCAAAUAUCAACCCUACUAAUUUCUGUAGGUUAGUAUUCUUUAUACACAUGCCUGAAAUUUUAUUUUUAACACUCUAGCUAACAUGAAUAUUUUUUUCUGGUAAUAUUAAAUUGAUUUUUCUAAGGGGAAAUAUAAAAUUCUGCUUUGAAACAUGUUGUAGUAGGCUUCUUGUGGGGGCAUGGGAUGUACGGGACAGGCUUCUCCCUCAGCAUAGAGAGACAGUGCUAUCGUGCUGACCUUGAUGCAGAGAAAACAGGAGAAGAAGGAUGAGAAAAGAAUGUGGAAACGGCCAAAUAAGGCACAAUGUUAUCUGGUGUGAACCAAUCAGGGUGGGACAUGACAGCAUGGUUUUGUAGGUAAAAAUGUAUCUAAGCUGUGUUUAGUAGUGAAUAAACACCAUUUUGCUGCUCAUCAUAUUAGUGUGCGUCUGCCGUCAUUUGGCCCUGAUCAGGUAAUUGGUCAGUGAGCGCAGAGGCCUAACACAGGUGGCUAACAUCGUUGUUGCAGAAAGCAACAAAUGGUGCCCCGUGUGAGGAGGCAGACUGUGUUUUAAUGCCCUCUGUGCAGCUGCAAGCUGUGGGGUGACGCCAUAGCGUGAGAUUUGGGGUGACGCCCAGCCCGAGUACCCUGAAGAGAGGGGGAGCCUGCAGAAGACGAUUGGGGUGACGCCCUGCAGAAGAUCAUGGUGACGACGAUAGUGCCGGCCAGCAAGUAGAACCUGUGUUGCGGUGGGGUCCGGGGGGACGACAGGACGCUCACGGAGGACCCGUGUGGACGGCGGCGUCAAGUGUGACUUCGUGGUGACGGCGACGGGCUGAUCAUGGACCAUGUUCUUAAGUCAGGCCUGUUUUCCCUGCAACAUCCCUCUCUGCAAGAGUUGGUCUGCUCGAGGCUUUCAUCAAGGAGCUUCCCUGGCAAAAUGGCUGUCUCUCCUCAAACAGAAAGAGAGACAGAGGAAGUGCCAACACAGAGGUAACCAUGAAAAUUCUAGAGUUUGGGACUUCCGCACGUCUUCACAGCACUUGAGGAUGCACUCCUCAGUGCCCAGGAAAAUGGAUAAGAACUGUGAAAUACUCGACCAGUUCAACAGACGUCUUCAGGCCUUGACCAGAUGCAUGGCGAUGCUCACCUUGGAACUGCCUGAGGGCAGCGAUGAUUCCACCAGCUCGGUCACAGUGAGUGAAAACCGCUGCUCUUUGAGGACAUCGCUGUAUCCGUUGAGCACCAGUUGGGGGGAAAUGGAGGCACCUUACCGACACCCAAAAGCCCAGGAGAACUUGGAAAGCUCCAUCCCAGAAAGGAAAGCGGAGCAGGGACUGGGCCUCAGUGAUCAGAGAAAGCCUGAUGUGAUGGUGGCUCCCACGGUGCAGGACCUGCCCUUAGAGGAUGAGGCUAUGCAAAGUCAUUCGGAGCAUCCUAACAUAAAAAUGCAGGCACCACAGUUCCUGAAGAGGAGUUUCUCAGAGCCUGUCCUGGGUCAGAGAGACUCCCAGCUUCCCCAUCCUCUGAGGCACUCAAGGAGGCCCACUUACUCGCUCUUCCAGCGUGGGCAUGGGCAAGCUCUGGCAAGGAGGUCAGCAGCAUGGGCCCUUGUCCUAUGGCGAAAAUCUGCCCCCGAGACAGAUACGUGCAGACAAGAAACAAGGAUUCCAGUCCACAUUGCCUGCUGCAGAAUCUAUGAAGGCCCUGAUGACCAUCAGAUCAAGAUGAUGCAUCUGUGGCUGGAGCAAUAUGAAUAUGUUGAGAGGCGAAAGUUGGAAUUUUAUAGAGACUACUACACCCAGCCUAACAACGAAGGAUCCCAGGGCGUGGCUCCAUCUGACACUGCAGCCCCGGUUGUUGCAGGAGGAGCAACAGUUCGAGAGAGGAAUUCACCCGAGGUCAAGGCCAGUGAGCAACAGGACAAGAAAAAUACCACUGCUGCCCAGCAGCCAGAGGGGCUCCCUGAACGUACCCUCGUGGAGAGUUCUUCGGUUCUGCCAUGGAGGCGUCUGCCACCGGGUAGACCAUUCAGACCCCAAGCAGCACACGCAGAGAUGACGCCCAGGCAAGAAGCAGCAGAACACACGACUCCUAGACCAGAGACACCA
ensembl:lncRNA